CGGCGGACGGGUGAGUAACGCGUGGGUAACCUGCCUCAUACAGGGGGGAUAACAGUUGGAAACGACUGCUAAUACCGCAUAAGCCCACGGCCCGGCAUCGGGCUGCGGGAAAAGGAUUUAUUCGCUUCAGGAUGGACUCGCGUCCAAUUAGCUAGUUGGUGAGGUAACGGCCCACCAAGGCGACGAUUGGUAGCCGGACUGAGAGGUUGAACGGCCACAUUGGGACUGAGACACGGCCCAG
rnacentral:rRNA from 1 species